CACACACACACACACGCAACCAACCAAUGCUGUUCACAAAAAAAAAGAAAAAAAAAAGGAUGGACCUAUUUCUCUAUUUCCACACUAUUUCUUUUAUUUCCACUUCUUCAAAGCCACAACUCAAACUUUCAUUCUCAAAUUUCUCUCGAUUCUCUAAACUCAACUUUUGUUGCUCUCCUGUGUGCUUUUCGAUUGUCCGAUAUUUGACGGUAUGUAGCUGUGGGAAACACAACAUCAAAUGAGAAGAACAAGAGAGAGAGAGAGAAUAAAGAGCGAGAGAGAAUAUGUCGAAGAGACUGAUAAUUAGCAUUCAGCAAUCAACACGGACCAAAAAAAUACGCAUAACACACCGCUGAUAUUUUGUUCCACAG
rnacentral:ribozyme from 1 species